GAUGAACGCUGGCGGCGUGCCUAACACAUGCAAGUCGAGCGGUAUAUGCUGAAUUGAAACUUCGGUCUAUUGAAGGCAUAGAGAGCGGCGGACGGGUGAGUAACGCGUAGGCAACCUGCCCCAUACAGGGGGAUAGCCUCGGGAAACCGGGAUUAAAACCUCAUAACGCGGAGAGUCCACAUGGAUUUUCCGCCAAAGAUUCAUCGGUAUGGGAUGGGCCUGCGUCUGAUUAGCUGGUUGGUGGGGUAACGGCCUACCAAGGCGACGAUCAGUAGCCGACCUGAGAGGGUAAUCGGCCACAUUGGAACUGAGACACGGUCCAAACUCCUACGGGAGGCAGCAGUGGGGAAUAUUGCACAAUGGGCGCAAGCCUGAUGCAGCAACGCCGCGUGAGCGAUGAAGGCCUUUGGGUCGUAAAGCUCUGUCCUUGGGGAAGAAAAAAAUGACGGUACCCUUGGAGGAAGCCCCGGCUAACUACGUG
rnacentral:rRNA from 1 species